rnacentral:tRNA from 1 species
AGCUGGCUGGCUCAGUCAGUGGAGCAUGAGACUCUUGAUCUUGGGGUUGUGAGUUCGAGCCCCACGUUGGGUG